ACCAGCAGCCCGGGAGCUGCUCCUCGCCAACGACCCGCUGCGAUCAUUCGGCGCCCGCUUGUCCCCCCUCGGCGGCAGCAGCAGCACCCCAAGCUUGGGAAUUGCAUUGUUGCGGGCUGUAUGUGUGCGCGCGCAGGAGAGAGAUUGCUACGGAGGCAUCAACCUGUAGGCUGAGAUUUCUUUUGCGGCAGCUACCUGUUUGGAAAGCGCUUUGCGGGUGCAGCAGGAAAAGCGCACAGAGACUUACGCAACCCCUCCUCAAUCCGGAGGCAGCCAAGUGAACUAGGUCUCCGGCCCCGGCUCAGAGCAACCUUUCUGGGGGAGGGCUCCCCAUCCCGGCUGCUGGCUGGAUUCGGACGAAGAGGGAAUCAGGCAGCGGGAGGUGAGAGCCCAAGUGAAGGCAAGCGGCUUUGCAAGGCAGCACAAACCAGGAGCUGCACCGCGGCCCGCUAGUACCUACACUUCCCCGGGAUAUCAGGGUACAUAGAGUUGCUCUGAAUGGGAUAAGCUCUCCAAGCCUGGUAGGUGGCUCAGAUUGUGACCAUCAGCUUAGAGAAGUUGCAGUAAAGAGAGAUUUUCCCCUCCCAUUCCCACGCUCCCCCUUCUCCACAGACACCGGACAGGUAACCCAGCAAGCCGGGCGAUGGUGCACUGGCUUCCCCGGAGCCCCAGAAAGAUCAGCCUGGCUCCCGCAUUCCCAGCACUGCUGAGCCGGAGCAGUCACUGAACCACCACCAGGAGCAGCAGCAGCAACAACCCCCACCGGAGCAGUGUGGGAGCUAUUGCGCAAUUCUGCCCAGAUUUGCUUCCUCCCUCCUUCCCAACCGUCAAUGCUGCUCAACUCACGAGGAAACAGAAAGCUGAUUCAUGGAUUCCAGACCCAGCUUCCUCUGUGCUGCUGUCCAUAAGAAGAUCAUGGUGCUGCUGCUGCUUGAGACUUUGCUGUAAAUCCACUCACUCCUCCUCCCCAAACCCUGAGCGCGCUCUCUCUCGCUCUCGGAAGUGUGGUUACUGCUUGGGGAGCAGCCGAGCCUGGCGCAAAAGGGGAAACGUUGAUGCAUCGCUGUGGAGAUUCAUUGUGUGACUUUCUGGGUAUUUACUGAGUUUCAAACCGAGAUGCAGCUCUUGAAAGCUUUAUGGGCAUUAGCAGGAGCAGCUAUCUGCUGUUUUCUUAUAUUUGUCAUCCACUCACAGUUCCUUAAAGAAGGUCAACUGGCUGCAGGUACAUGUGAGAUUGUUACUUUGGACAAAGAUAGCAGCCAGCCCCGAAGGACUAUAGCCCGACAAACAGCUCGCUGUGCAUGUAAAAAAGGACAGAUUGCCGGUACAACAAGAGCAAGGCCAGCCUGCGUGGAUGCACGAAUUAUCAAAACAAAACAGUGGUGUGAAAUGCUUCCAUGUUUAGAAGGAGAAGGCUGUGAUUUGCUAAUCAAUAAAUCAGGCUGGACCUGUACACAACCAGGUGGGCGAAUAAAGACAACCACGAAAUCUGAUCACCACAGAACUCCUUGCCAAAAUUCAACAGAAACCAGGGGGUAUUGGGGAUCUUGCCAAAGAAUUUAGAUCCAAUAUGCUGCACAAUACACAGGGCUCUGCCUCUGAUAGACAGCGACACACUGCCUGUCUGAGGCCAUGUGGUUUGGAGAUCUGAUCACUAGUCCGAAAAGAAAAGGCUGUUUUCAAGAUUUCUGGGGUGUUUUUUCCUGGAAAAGGUCUCCUGACAAAUGCAGCAGCAAAGAAUUCUCGUAUGAGUGGUCUAGGUUCUGUGUGAGCUACUUACCUUAGUCAAAUUUCACUGCUGUGGAUCAUCAUCCAUUAUAUGUCAUCAAUUCAACUGUCUGUUUCUCUAUAUCUCAUAAAAGACAGCAUAAUUUCUCUACAUUAUGAGCUAAAAGUCUGUUCUACCAUUCUAAGGAGCACUGGACUAAGGAAUAUAGAUAUAAGAGAUAUGCUUGGGCAUUAGCAAUACAAAAAGUUCAUGGUUAACGUUUCAUCUGCGUUAUACACCACUGCUGGACUCGAUGUUACCUACAUGUUUUGAUCUGAAGGGUCUACUGCACUGAAGAGUAUUCAUCCCAAUCAGCCUUAGAGAAGACUGUUUUGUCUAUGGGAGGACACUGAGGUGCAAAAGAGAAUCUCUUCUUGUGCCCUGGACUGUCUGAAUUGCUUUUAUUUUCUUAUUCUUUCAGUAUAUACAAUAGACCAAAGAGCAAAAUCUAUUUUAAAGUGGACACAAUCUUGCUGUUAAGAGAGCUAUCUGGGUUAAAUUGUAGGGUGGUCUCCACAAAGACAUGAUUUCAACUCUCACAAAGCUGAGAUGUUCCUGUACAGCAGAAGUCUUUAUGGAACACUGCAGUAAAAACUAAACUAGAAAAUUACUCUUGAAAACCACAUUAUAAACAAUGAAAUGGAGCAUGGAGAGAAAACAGCGUAUGUUUGAAAAACUACAAACUGUCUACAUGGCACCUUUAUUCCUCUGUACUUAGAUUGACUUUCUCGUACUAAAAUCAUUUUCAGUUUUAACCAGUUAAACAUGCCUCUUCUACAGUUCCAUUUUUUGAUAGUUAAAAUUGGAUAAUACAGUAUUUGCAAAGAGCAUGUUUGGUCAUCUGUGGCCUAUGUCUCAUCUGAUACACCAUUUAGAACCAGAAAGCAAAUUAAAGGGAAAAAAAGUAACACUUGUUUGAAAGAGAUCAUUAAAUGUAUUUUGAAAAGCCUAAAGUUAUAUAUUUAACAGUUUUUAUAUGUUGUAUAUUUGUAGAAAAUCCUAUUUAACAAUUAACGUGAUAACUCUGACGGUCAUGACAAAUGGUUCAGAGUUAAGUUGUGUUUUAUUACUUCAGUUGUCUCUGAAGUGACAGGUGUCAUUUGCUUUCUUCCAUUAGGAUAUUCUGGAUGUAAAGCAUGACAAGAGAGGACUCUGUAGAAAAAGCAAAGAAUAAUGUUGUUUCUAUUACAUAAAUGCAUUCAACCAUUGCACUGUUGGAAGGCAUUUUUUUUUUGUCUUUAUGUACUGGUAAAAAUAGAGUGUAAAAUAUUUUAAUCAUGGCUUUCCAUACCGAGGUUUCUUUUUUCUCUCUCUCUCUCCUUCUCCCCACCCUCCACUACAUAAUACAGUAUAAAGGUCAAUUUGCGGCCUGUUCCUUGACCCAGAUUCAAUGUUUUACUUCAUCGUUAAAAAACCCUCUUUUUUGGCAUGAUCAGGUAGUGAAAAGUUAAUGCAAAGACAGCAUAAAAAAGAGGGGAAAUAAAGAUAAAAAGAUCCCUCACUCCCUAUUACUGUACCUUUCUAUAUAUGUCUGGUACAUAUUGAUAUGAUGAAAUCAACAAAUGAGCUUAACUUCUUCCUGGCAAAUGUAUUCCAGUUUUAACUAUUUCUCCAAGUUUCCACUGUAGUAUACUACCUAAUACUCCAAUUAACUUUUAGUACUAUGCUAGUUCUAUGCUACUGAAGAAAAAUAUAUAGAGACUGUUCAAGCAACCAUAGAUAAAAAAAUACAAAAACAAAAGGUUAUUUUUUUUGGUAAGGCCUGUUCCACUAUUCAGGCUUAUUUAAUACGCAGGUUGCAGAAACCAUGAAUUAUAGGUGACUGUGUCUUUUGAGUAAAAUAAACAUAUAAGAAUUUCUUAUUUAAUCUUAAGGUUUUCGACCAGUAUCAAAGUAGCAAUUCAAUGCCAGUCACUUGAAGAGUGUUAUGAACUGACUGCACUAUAAAUGACCAAUGUCUGGUUUAAAAUGUCAUGCAAUAAACGAUGGUAAAUACAUUUACUGUACUACUAGAACUCAAGAGCCAGAUCCCUCACUCUACCAAUUUUCUUUUUUGUUUCAGUUUAUUUUUAAAGGGAGUGUAGUAGCCUUAUUUAGUAAACACAGAAAAACUAAAGAUGUUACAUUUUUGUUGCUUUACAGUACUCAGUUUUGUGUUGGUUCAGCUAAAUUAUGGAAAUAAAGAAAAUCCUUUUAUAAGUGAGACUUUUGUUCCCUGAUCAUGAUGUCACACAGAGAAUUUCAGUAGAGGGCGCUUGCGGGUAGGGGAACAGGGAAGUAGAUUCUCACAAUGAAAUAGGUGAAAAUAUUCAGUAUUGGAAAUUGAAAUAAUACCCUACAUUUGUAAAAUUGCUAACAGUUUUGGGCGCUGACAUUUUUGGGUGCCCAGUAUGAGACAAGCGCCGAGUGCCCAUUCUCUGGAAAUUAGGCCCCUUUAUCAUAUCUCAGAUUGGACACUCAAAAUCAGUAGUCACUUUUGAAAAUUUCAUCUAAUAUCUCUAUGUUUCAUUACUUUGAAUGCUCAACAAAAGAGAAAUAUGUCCUUGUUUUUAAGGUCUGCUCAGAAGCAACAAAGCACGAAAAGUUUAGAUUAUUGGUCGGAGACAAGUGUACAUUCUAGCUAGAAAUGGGGAUGAGCCUAGUUUGUGUGACAGAAAUCUCAAGUCACUUCAGAAGAGGACUUUUCAGAAUGUACAUUUUCAAAUGAAUGAAAUAUACUGACUGUUUUUGUAAAUAUAAAUUAGUGUCCUCAAUGCUAUGCUGAAACCUUUAUCUUUCAGUGACGUUACACUUUUACAAUGUUGUGGGCUUCAAACCUUACAGAACUUGAUUUCACAAAGAAUUCUGAUUGGUUUAUGUGGGUAUUUUAUGUGCCUCUUCCACAAAGAAAUGUAAGGCUUAGGAGAGGCAUAUCUGAUUUGAAUGCUGUUAAAUAUCCUCCUUUUCUCAGUUUUCAAAUGGGUAACUUUCCAAAACACACAGAAAGGAUGAUAAAAUAUGAAAAGGGUAGAGUUAGAGAAAAAGGUCACCCAAAACAAAAACAAAAAUACAGAAAAAUACAGAAGACCUUUCGUAUAAUUUUCAGAAAAACUGCUGCUAUAGCUUUCUGUCAGCCCGUGCAGGGACAGAUCCAACUAAUGCUUCAGACAACUGAGAUUUCACAAGACCAUUAUUGAAGUAAAUAUUAACACACUGUAGCAAUCCACAUAGCAAUUUCUCUGAUUUCAUAAUUACAUUUCUAACAUGCUCUUUUAUUGUGAACAAAUCUUUUUCUUGCUGUAUAGGUUUUAUGCACACAAUGUUCUUUGGUCAGCUGCUUGUUUACUGAAAGUGUACCCACAUGUUUUUGUGUAAAUCUUUAACCCUCACAUUUUCUAUGUAAUAUGGCCUAGUAAUCAUCAUCUUGAGUAUUAAUUAGAGUUCCAUAAGAAAAUAAAGA